CUGUAUUUGAGAUCUGAGCCUUUGGUACCUAGGAGGAGGGUGCCUUAAAGGAGCUGUAGCUACAGGCUCACUGGAACCGCGAGGAAGUGAGGAGACUCGGCCAAACCCCGCCUGAUGGUGUCUUCCCUCUUGGCUGGACCCGAUGCCCCGAGCAGCCGAUGGGAGACCCCCGCCCGGUUCUCAGACCUGUUUGCAGAUUGCAGCUCACCUGCCCAUCCCGGCUGCCCAGCCCUGCUUGCCUGCGUUCCCGUCCCGGCCCUUGCUCUCGAUCACCUGGCCCACCUGAUUCAACCAAGAUCGCAAUCACCUGAUGACCUGCCUGCCCAACAAACUCUAGCCUUGGAGCAGAUUCACUCAUCGCUCAGGACUCAUUUCUACCAGCUGGUAAAAAAAAAGCUAUGAUUAUAAAAAACUUGUGAAAAAUAUCCAUCAAUUCAUAGGUUUUAAAAAUGCCAUACAACAACUUAUGUGAAAUAUGAUAGUGUGUUUGUUUGCUAUUGUAAUUAAUUGGGAUAUUGAGAAUUUUGGGGAAUAUUGAUAACUACAUAUUUGUACUACUGUUCUUUAAAAGUGAAAAAUGUUAACAUGUUCAAUUCAUUUGCUACAGUGGAUUAUGGCCAGAUAUUAAGAGAAAAUGAAUCUCAUUUUUGGUGAGAAAGC
rnacentral:lncRNA from 1 species